rnacentral:lncRNA from 1 species
GAACUCUGACUAUCCUACAUUGUAAUAUGCCUACUACCAAGUGGCCCUCAGUUGGCCUUGAGGAACCCCAGGACUACAAUGGACUACUUUGUGUGAAAGCCUCUGCUUUAGUCCAGCAUUCCCAUUUUACAUCUGAGGAAACCCAGGGAAAUGUUGCACAAGUCAGCACAAUGCCACGGAAAGAACAUUGGACUAGAAAACAAAAAAUGCUUGGGUCAGAGCUUUGCCACUUCAGCUAUGAGACUUUGGACAAAUCUAUUCAUCACUUUAGAGCCUCACUUUCCUAAUUUAUUAUAAUAACUUUUGAGUUGUGUAAUCUCUGAAGUCUAUCCCUGUUAUAAAAUUACUGUAAUUCCAAUUGCAGACACAGUUUGUACCUUCAGUUCAGUGUUCUUCCCAAUGUACUGCUGUGUGCUUGCCAGUUAUUUAGAGGGCCCUGUGCACGGAUGCCCUGGAUGAAUCCUAUAAUAACACUUCUACACACCCACAGAAGGAUACUACACAUACUUUUAUAAUCUGUGGCUCUGUACCAAGUGCAGGUGGAUAUGCAGCCAGGUUCUCAAUAAUUAUGCAGUGUCUGUAUUUUACACAAACAUUGCUAUCUAGGGAAAUCUGCCAACUGUUGAAUCAUAUAGUUCCUGGAACACCGUUUCUUAUUCCCAGUCUUACAUAACCACAUCUUAACUAAUACAACUAAUAAAAUACCACAAGGGGUUUCUAAGGUGCUUUGGUAAAGUGGAGAAGGUUUCCCACAAAAAGAAAACAUACAUUCACCUCCAGAAAAUGGAAUCCAAUGAAUAUGUAAGUUUACAUAAGACAAAGAAUGAAUUUAAUACUCAUUAAUUACCCUUUUGUGAGAAACUACUUUGCUCUCUAUUCAGCGCCACUAGUAUUUCCAAUGGAUUUGGCAGAUUAUUUUUUUAAGUUAAACUUCAUCAAAGAAAUUCUUUAGAGGUAUUUUCAUAAGCAGAAACUAACAAUCUCAAGUUUU